GGAGACAUUGUUGCGGUGCACACACGUGCCUUUGGCGGUUUCGCCCCUUCCACACUUGUGAAACCUGGGCGCUUGAACCUUGAACUACUCUUUGCCUUCUUAUGACCGGCAAUACGUUCUGUGCGCUUGGUGUCGCGUCGCGUUUGCGCCUUUGCGAAAGCAUUGGCGAAAGUAGCAGAAAUGUUUGGGACCGGUGCUCUCCGUAAUGAUCCCCGUGGAACGUGAACAGUCGACCCUUCACUUGUCCAGAGUUCUGCAACAUAUUUUUACCCAACAAAAGCGAGCGCAAUGACACGGAAUGGGUGGUCCGCAAAACAAAACGUUCAGGAGCUCUGUCGAGUGCGUCUGCGCUGCGACGAAUGCACCGGCCGUUCUUGAAACCUGUCCCCUAGUGUUAUUUUAGUAGUACUGCAGCUGUGGCUGAAUUCCACUACACAGAUAUUCCUGUUUAUAAUCGAAUGCGGCACGUCUGCUAGGUGGGAUCUAGCGCUCAACGAAGUCGAGGCUUACCUACUACACGGUUUUAGGAUAGUCGAUCUGUCCGCGUACUUGUCUUUCUGUUCAAACAACUAUUGGAAUCUCAAGUGAGAAUGGCAGAAUGUAGCAGAGAUCCAAAUCAUGGACGAUUGCGACGCAUUCCAUGUGUACAGGGAUGGUUGUCAAUCCCUACAAGACACAUUUUUGUCCUCUUGGGCUUUCUUGCCCUUGUGAAUGUCUACACUCUCAGAGUGAGCCUAAGCGUGGCCAUUGUGGCAAUGGUGAAGCAUCCUGCAGAAGAGGUGGUCACUGUAAAUGGAACAAGCUUCAUCAAUUAUACCCAGUGCCAACCAGAUGAUGAUUAUCAUUUGACCACUUCUGAUCCACCAGCAGGGCAGCGUGGUGAUCAGGCGGAGCGCUUUGACUGGGAUGCCCAGGUGCAAGGCCUGGUGCUGGGAUCCUUCUUCUACGGCUACAUCUUGACAGUGCUGCCAGGAGGUGUGCUGGCUGAACAGUUUGGGCCGAAGUGGCUCAUUGGCCUUGGUGUUGUCAUCACCAGCCUGCUGUCCAUGGUGCUCCCCGCAGCUGCACAUGCCCACCACCUGAUUGUGGUUGCCAUCCGCAUACUUCAGGGUCUGGCAGAGGGGGUUGUGUUCCCUGCCAUGCACACCAUGAUUGCAUUAUGGACGCCGAUCACUUCUCGGAGCCGUGUCAUCUCGAUCGUGCAGUCUGGCUCUGAUGUUGGUGCUGUGGUUGCCAUGAUGGCAUCUGGUGUUCUAGCUGAAUCAACAUUUCUUGGUGGCUGGCCAUCUAUCUUUUAUAUCUUUGGCUUUGCAGGUAUUAUCUGGUUUAUAGCCUGGUGUUUACUGGCAUUUGACACACCUAGCCAGCACCCCAGAAUCUCAAGAGAAGAACUGGAGUUCAUUAUUGCCAACCAGGGAAAUGAACAGGCGCAGCUGAAGCGGAAGGUUCCAUGGCUCAAGAUAUUGCUGUCCAUCCCUGUUUGGUCGAGUGUCCUCUCACACUUUGGCUUCAAUUGGAUUCACUAUAUUUUUCUCUCUGAAAUGCCCACAUACCUGACAUCAGUGCUGCAUUACAGCCUCGGAGCAAAUGGAUUGCUUUCUGCAGUCCCCUACGUGCUCGGAGCCUUCCUGUGUUGUGUAGCCAGCCUAGUGGCCGAUGUCUUUCGAAAACGUGGCACCAUGUCUAUCACCAACAACAGGAAGCUGUUCAAUAGCUUAGGUGUACUGGUGCCUGGCCUAUUCCUGUUGCUGGUGCCCUUGGCUGGCUGCAAUGGUUUCUGGAACAUGGUACUGCUUGCCGUUGCAGGUGGCUUUCACGGAAUGGGGCAUAGCGGUUUUAUGGCUGCUUUUGUUGAUCUUGCACCAGACUUUGCAGAUGUUGCUAACACUCGGCCAACAAAAUGUUCAGCAGUACACAAACUAGUGCCUUUCAGUUGUAUUAGACUAUGAAGCUGAAAGAGCAGAAAAAUGAUUGCUUCUGUUGCAAGAAAUAAGGAGUGUGAGUGAACGCGCAGUUACUUCCUAGUAGCGACCUUUAUCUGAAGAGGUACCCUUCUGGGAAUAUCCAAUGUAAUUGCCAGCAUUCCCGGAAUUGCCAUACCAGCCAUGCUAGGCGAACUGCUCAAGGAACGG
rnacentral:misc_RNA from 1 species